UACGAGGGGGGCAAGCGUUGUUCGGAAUUAUUGGGCGUAAAGGGUGCGUAGGCGGUUUGAUAAGUCACAUGUGAAAUCUUCGGGCUCAACCCGAAGUCUGCAUGCGAAACUGUCGGGCUUGAGUAUGGGAGAGGUGAGUGGAAUUUCCGGUGUAGCGGUGAAAUGCGCAGAUAUCGGGAAGAACACCCGUGGCGAAGGCGGCUCUCUGGGACGGUACUGACGCUGAGACGCGAAAGCGUGGGGAGCGAACAGG
rnacentral:rRNA from 1 species